GUUUGAAAUUAUUUGUUGUUGCCGAAAUAAAGCGCUACAGGCAAUAUGGUGUCUAAAACAAAUGCAGUUAGAAAAUGAAGAAUGUUGCCCAGAAGGUGCCAUCUCAUGCUGUAAUACUUUUGGGUGCAGUGAAUGUCAAAGCAAGCUGUAACUCAAAGACUGUCAGUUAUGAGAGAGCUGACGGAGAGAGAAACAUGCAGAGAUGCGAUCCAAGCACCCAGCAUGUCACAAGGAGUUAGAAGAGCCAUCCCUCUGAAGAUCAUGUCACCAAAGAUUAAUUGGAUCUCUGCUCCUCUGAGAAUUAGUGAUUUCGAGGUUUAGAUUAGAGGUUUUUAUCGCACUGGUUCAGGCAGUGCUUCAGACGUUUCUAAGACUGAGGCUUUACAAUUAUUCUCAACUCUGACUUAUCUCAGAAUGGCCCAACAAAAAGGUUUGUCUUUCCUUCCAGCACGUUCUCUCUAUAUUAGUCACAUAUAUACAAUAGUUAAAUAAACAUGAAAAUUGUCAUUUUAAUACUUAGUAAGUUCAUAUAUCACAUUUAGUCACUGUCACUAGAAAUUUCCUUUUUAAAGUUUGUAUUAAAUGUGCAGUAGGAGAACUUGGAAAAUGCUAACUUUAGCCUGAUAGCACUGAAAGCGAAUGUCCCACCCUCCCUGCAAUUCCCGUCUAAAGCCACGCCCACUGAACACAUUUACGAUUACAGACCAGAAUACCAGAGACAACAUUACUACAAUAGGCUAC